UACGUAGGGUGCGAGCGUUAAUCGGAAUUACUGGACGUAAAGCGUGCGCAGGCGGUUCGUUGUGUCUGAUGUGAAAGCCCCGGGCUCAACCUGGGAAUGGCAUUGGAAACUGGCGAGCUAGAGUGUGGCAGAGGGGGGUGGAAUUCCGCGUGUAGCAGUGAAAUGCGUAGAGAUGCGGAGGAACACCGAUGGCGAAGGCAGCCCCCUGGGCUGACACUGACGCUCAGGCACGAAAGCGUGGGGAGCAAACAGG
rnacentral:rRNA from 1 species